GGGGGCGAUAGGUUUCGACGGGAAUAGGUUGAGCUUGGAUUGCAAGCCAAGUGCCAGAGCUUGUAAAAACUGGGUUAAACAUAAACGCUAACGAUUCAGAGUUAGCCUUAGCAGCCUAGAACUAAGCUGCUACGUCUGUUAGAAGGUCUCCUGCACUUUUUAAUGGGCGCCGUUUAGCAGGAUACCUUAUAAUAGCUUGUCUGCAGCUAUUGUAAGGGAAAUUUAAGCAGACUAGCUUAGCUUAACCCUGUCCAUCUGGUUGUGAUAAGCAAAAUUUGAAGAUGGAAUAAGCUUGUAGAAGUCCUUGUGGCAAUAUUUUCGGACGCGGGUUCAAUUCCCGCCGCCUCCACCA
rnacentral:tmRNA from 1 species